ensembl:miRNA
ACGGUUUGGGACUCAGGAUGUGGUCAAGUGUUGUCAAGGCAUGUUCGGCGACAAUACUUGACCACAUUUUGAAUCCCAAACCACAU